UGCAACCACAUUUUGAUAAUGUUUUAUUAUGAAUGUUAUAACCAAAUGUUAUGGUGUCAAAGUAUUAUUAUUUAUAGUUUAAAAAUCUAGUGUGAUGAAACACAAGUGUUUUAUGUUUAUAACAGAUGUUCCUGUGAAGUUGUGGGUUAGUGAUUGAGAGAUGGAAUGCGGAACCUUUGCCGCUGUGCCCGCCCCGAUGCGCUCUGGGGACGGACUUCCGGUCUCAGCCUCAGACGUGUUUUGGGAACGACACGAGUGCAUCUGUGGUUCUUUCGCUCAUUCUCUUUCUUCAUUUCACAGGUCAGUCACUAAUUAAACUUACUGUAAAUGGAAACCUUAAGCUUCAUAUGACUUCUUCAAGUAAUGGAAAGCCAUUUUAUGUUGUUUGAUGGCCGUUUGAUAUGACUUUUCACGUGGGUUUAUUCACCUUAUUCAGGAAGUGCUGCUGGACGGCGCCAUUUUUGAGAGCAACUUCCGGUUGGCCGUCUUUGCGCUGCAACAACAUUGAGUCCUCUCGCUACUUUCACUACUUUUAACUGUUCUUUUUGGCGAUUUGAACAUGUUUGGCAUCAGUUGCGCUGUCCGUGGGAGCCACAACAACUGGGGAAAGAUGAAGCUCUCUCUCUCUCGGUAUUGUUUGGAGCAUGGAAAGGCUCGAUCUGAAUGCUGCCGACCAGCUUUUAAACUCCACCCGCCUCGUCUGAAGAAGAGGACCUCCGCUGCUGGCUCAAGCCACUCCAUUUAAAAAAGCCACCAAAGCGUCCGGAUGUGUUCUCCUGUCACUUUGUGGACCUGCAUCCCUCACCACUUCAUCCCUCUCCAGAGAAACGGCCGGGCUACAAGGCUGAGUUAAAGAAGCCACGACGGAAGCUGGAGAGACACGCAGAUGCAUCAACCAGUGCUGGGAGUGAAAGUCCUGCAGCCAGACGGCGAGCUCCAGGCUGAACCUUCUGCCUCCUGCCUUCCUCUGUCAGACCAGGACCGUGCUGGAAGUCCUGUUCUCCACCAGCCGUUCCAGGGUCAUCCAGCGACAGUGUUCAGCAGCAUCCGACUGCAUCCAACACUCUGACGCUCUGACCAUCUCUGCCUCGUCUACACUGCUCUCCCUCUGGAGAAAGAUUGUCGUGUUUGAGCUGCAGCAUUUUAUUUAACGAUCAUGAUGCUGCACCGCCUGCUUCACCGUCUUCAGAGCGACUGUGGUUUGAAUUCUGUGUUUGGAUUGUCUGACAAACUGUCCACAACCUUUUGACCCAAAAAGGGCAGUUUUGAUUUCACUAGUUCACAAAGUAGUUCCUAGAUUUCUCGAUAGUCCAGUUGAUGUGUUUUUUAGUAAGCUGUAUUCUCUUUUGCAAACGUCUGUUUUUCACUAGGUUGUUCUCGCCCCUAGUUUAAUUUCACACAGGCUUUUCUAAUUGUCACAGUAUCAAAAGUUAAUCCAGAGUGUCUGUGAUGAUCCUGGAGCUGAUCAUUGGUUCAGUCUUUUUCUUUCUGCCUCUUUUUGAUCCAUUUGGACGGUAAUCUUCAGUUUUCUUCCAUUUUUUUCUCUGGUUUUGCUUCCCAUUUUAUAUGACUGGAGUUUAUUUUAGCUGAGCAGUUCAUCAUUUUCUGCGCUUUUUUGUGUUUUUCCUUCACAAAUCUUCAUUUGAAUUUCAUUAUGCUUAGAAUGUUGGGCACUGCAAUUUUUUUGCUCAGAUUUUCAGGAUGAUUGAUAAAAUUUUAUAUGACCUGAUCAGUGACAGUACUUAUGGACUGCCACAUGCUUUUUUGUUUACCUUCUAUUUAAAGUAAAAAAAAUAAACCAAUACUUUAAUCAGAUAUGCAAAGGUGGUACAAUUCAGUUAAAUGUUUCAGGCAGUAGUAUGUAAUACACAUAAAUUACAUUUUUAUGGAGUACCUAGGAAAAAUAUGACACAUUACAAUUUUGAAGUAACUCGCCCAACACUGCAGCAUCAUAAUUUGGCACACCAGAUUUAGAUUGUGGAUUGUGUUCAGCCACACUUUCUUUAUUUAGCAGUAACUCAUCAACUCAAACACACAUUAUAAGACAUUCCAAUUUACACUGUGUGAUUUUAAAGGAAGGAACAUAAUUUUAUUUGUCAUGUAGAACUUUUGUUAACAAAAUGUUUAUUCUGUUAUGCUGUGUAUGACCUUUGAUAUUUAAACUGUACCAUCUGUUUAUUGACUGUUCAAGAAUUGUAAUUUCAGUAAAAUAUCACUGCUUUCUGA